CCGAGAAUCUUCCGCAAUGGGCGAGAGCCUGACGGAGCGACGCCGCGUGUAGGAUGAAGGCCUUCGGGUUGUAAACUACUGUCACUUGGGAAGAGAUUGAUUGUCGUUAAUAGCGCCAGUCAUUGACUGUACCAAGAGAGGAAGCCACGGCUAACUCUGUGCCAGCAGCCGCGGUAAGACAGAGGUGGCUAGCGUUGUUCGGAUUCAUUGGGUGUAAAGGGUGCGUAGGCGGUUUGGAAAGUCGGAUGUGAAAUCCUAUGGCUUAACCAUAGAAUUGCAUUCGAAACUUCCAAACUCGAGUGCGAGAGAGGUGAAGGGAAUUCCCGGUGUAAGGGUGAAAUCUGUAGAGAUCGGGAGGAGCACCCGUAGCGAAGGCGUUUCACUGGCUUGCAAAUGACGAGGUGUGUACGAAAGCCUGGGGGGCAAACGAGAGUACAAGCCCGUCGAGGC
rnacentral:rRNA from 1 species